UGGAGCUACUUUGAAGCGGGAUGUUUACGAAGCCGAGUGAUGACCCGUGGGUGAAAGAAGAAAGAAGUUUUAAAUAUUUUACUCAGAACUUAUGUUAAGUAAUUCGAUGGGCAACACUUAAAUGUUUUGUACUAUUGCCUAUCCAUGACAUGUAUAUGAUAAUUUGAUAUAUAUAUAUAUUCUAUGACGUGUUUUAUAAGUAAGAUGAGAUCACAUUUUUAAUAGUUUUUAAUGUUUUAAGCUUCCGCUACGAUUUUAAAUCAAGAGUUUUGAACGAGAUUUAAAAAAAACAAUAAAAAUAUUUUACGCUAUUAUUAAAGAACAGGAUGUUACACAUUCAGCCCUUCUUGAAACACGGACCAAGGAGUCUGACAUGUGUGUGAGUCAACGGGCCAGAAAACCCGUGAGGCGCAAGGAGCUGAGUGGCGGGAUCCCCUUGAGGGUUGCACCGCCGACCGACCUUGAUCUUCUGAGAAGGGUUCGAGUGUGAGCAUGCCUGUCGGGACCCGAAAGAUGGUGAACUAUGCCUGAGCGGGGCGAAGCCAGAGGAAACUCUUGUGGAGGCCCGCAGCGAUACUGACGUGCAAAUUGUUCGUCUGACUUUGAUAUAGUAGCUGGUUCCCUCCGAAGUUUCCCUCAGGGAAGCUGGAGCCCUUGGGCGAGUUCUAUCGGGUAAAGCCAAUGAUUAGAGGCAUCAGGGGCGCAACGCCCUCGACCUAUUCUCAAACUUUAAAUAGGUAGGAUGGUGCGGCUGCUUUGUUGAGCCGCGCCACGGAAUUGAGAGCUCCAAGUGGGCAUUUUUGGUAAGCAGAACUGGCGAUGCGGGAUGAACCGAAAGCCGGGUUACGGUGCCCAACUACACGCUAACCUAGAACCCACAAACGGUGUUGGUCGAUUAAGACAGCAGGACGGUGGUCAUGGAAGUCGAAAUCCGCUAAGGAAUGUGUAACAACUCACCUUCCAAAUGAACUAGCCCCGAAAAUGGAUGGCGCUGAAGCGUGCGACCUAUACCUGGCCGUCGGGGCAAGUACCAGGCCCCAAUGAGUAGGAGGGCGCGGCGGUUGCUGCAAAACCUGGAGCGCGAGCCCAGGCGGAGCGGCUGUCGGUGUAAAUCUUGGCGGUAGUAGCAAAUAUUCAAAUGAGAACUAUGAAGGCCGAAGAGGGUAAAGGUUCCAUGUAAACAACACUUGCAUAUGAGUUAGUCGAUCCUAAGAGACAGGGCAAUCCUGUCUGGCAGCGCCCAGCGCACGAGCAUCGAAAGGGAAUCGAGUUAAAAUUCCUAAACUGGGACGUGGCGGCAGACGGCACCGGAGACGUCGCCUUGGACCUGGGAAAGAGUUAUCUUUUCUGUUUAACAGCAUACCCACCCUGGAAACAGCUCAGCCGGAGGUAGGGUCCAGUGGCUGUAAGGGCACCGCACGUCGCGCGGUGUCUGGUACGUCCUCAACGGCCCUUGAAAAUUUGGAGGACCGAGUGCCACCCACGCCCGGUCGUACUCAUAACCGCAUCAGGUCUCCAAGGUGAUCAGCCUCUUGUCGAUGGAACAAUGUAGGUAAGGGAAGUUGGCAAAAUGGAUCCGUAACCCUUGGAAAAGAAUUGGCUCUGAGGGCUAGGCACGGGGGUCCCCGUCCCAAAUUCGUCAGCUGUUGAUUGUCGAGAUGCUCUCACGGCGAGAACGGGUCAUCGCGUGCCGGCCGGGGGACGAACUAGAAACGGCUCCUUCGGGGGCCUUCCCUUUGCAUCGAACAGUCGACUCAGAACUGGUACGGACAAGGGGAAUCCGACUGUUUAAUUAAAACAAAGCAUUGCGAUGGUUCUUGCGGAUGCUCACGCAAUGUGAUUUUUGCUCAGUGCUCUGAAUGUCAAAGUGAAGAAAUUCAACCAAGCGCGGGUAAACAGCGGGAGUAACUAUGACUCUCUUAAGGUAGCCAAAUGCCUCGUCAUCUAAUUAGUGACGCGCAUGAAUGGAUAAACGAGAUUCCCCAUGUCCCUGUCUAUUAUCCAGCGAAACCACAGCCAAGGGAACAGGCUUGGCAGAAUCAGCGGGGAAAGAAGACCCUGUUGAGCUUGACUCUAGUCCGACUCUGUGAAAUGACUUGAGAGGUGUAGGAUAAGUGGGAGCCGGAAACGGCGAAAGUGAAAUACCACUACUUUUAACGUUAUUUUACUUAUUCCAUGAAUCGGAAGUGGGUCAGCACCGCCUCGACGGGUCGAUCAGGGCAGAAGACAUUGUCAAGUGGGGAGUUGACACGCUCGUGGAUAGGAGAGGUGACGGGAAGAUAGAAGACAAAAGGGAAAUAAACAAUCUGCCACGAACAAGAGGAGGGACUGGCAGAAACAGGGGAGAAAGCUGGCUAAGGCUCCAAAAUUACACGUGCGUUUGGGCUAAUAUUUUGUGGACUUAAACUUCAAAGGUAGGGCAAGGUUUGGUCCAAAAUUCGGA
rnacentral:rRNA from 1 species